rfam:Aedes aegypti strain Liverpool supercont1.1180 genomic scaffold, whole genome shotgun sequence.
UGCCCAGCAACUCCUAUCCCUACCUCCUCGUGGUACUAGCCGGGGUACGAGUAACCUUGGGGAAGA